AACGUACGCUGGCGGCACGCCUAACACAUGCAAGUCGAACGCAGUAGCAAUACUGAGUGGCAGACGGGUGAGUAACAUGUGGGAAUCUGCCUUGUGGUUCAGGACAACAUUGGGAAACUGAUGCUAAUACUGGAUAAGCCCUUACGGGGAAAGUUUUAAUGCCAUAAGAUGAGCCCGCAUUUGAUUAGUUAGCUGGUGAGGUAACGGCUCACCAAGCCGAAGACGGGUAGCCGGACUGAGAGGUCGACCG
rnacentral:rRNA from 1 species